rnacentral:rRNA from 1 species
AGAAUUUGAUCUUGGUUCAGAUUGAACGCUGACGGCGUGGAUGAGGCAUGCAAGUCGCACGAAAUAUUGAGCUUGCUUGAUAUUUAGUGGCGAAAGGGUUAGUAAUACUUGGGUAACUUACCCUUAACUUGGGAAUAACGGUUGGAAACGAUCGCUAAUACCGAAUGUGAAAAAGAAGAAGCAUUUCUACUUUUUUAAAGCUGGGGAUCGCAAGACCUAGUGGUUAAGGAGAGGCCCAUGGGAUAUCAGCUUGUUGGUGUGAUAAAAGCGCACCAAGGCUAAGACGUCUAGGCGGAUUGAGAGGUCGACCGCCAACACUGGGACUGAGACACUGCCCAGACUCCUACGGGAGGCUGCAGUCGAGAAUCUUUCACAAUGGGGGAAACCCUGAUGAAGCGACGCCGUGUGAGUGAAGAAGGCCUUCGGGUCGUAAAGCUCUUUCGCUUGGGAGCAAGAGAAGCGAGCUAAUACCUCGCUAAUUUGAUAGUACCAGGUAAAGAAGCACCGGCUAACUUCGUGCCAGCAGCUGCGGUAAUACGAAGGGUGCAAGCGUUAAUCGGAUUUAUUGGGCGUAAAGGGCGCGUAGGCGGAAAAGAAAGUCAAAUGUGAAAUCCCAGGGCUUAACCCUGGAACUGCAUUUGAAACUCCUUAUCUUGAGGGUAGACGGAGAAAGUGGAAUUCCACAUGUAGCGGUAAAAUGCGUAGAUAUGUGGAAGAAUACCGGUGGCGAAGGCGACUUUCUAGUUUAUUCCUGACGCUGAGGCGCGAAAGCAAGGGUAGCAAACAGGAUUAGAUACCCUGGUAGUCCUUGCCGUAAACGAUGUAUACUUGGCGUAGCUGGUCUCAACCCCAGCUGUGUCGGAGCUAACGUGUUAAGUAUACCGCCUGAGGAGUACGCUCGCAAGGGUGAAACUCAAAAGAAUUGACGGGGGCUCGCACAAGCAGUGGAGCAUGUGGUUUAAUUCGACGCAACGCGAAGAACCUUACCUAGGCUUGACAUGUACUGGACAACCACAGAGAUGUGGCUUUCUUCGGACCGGUACACAGGUGCUGCAUGGCUGUCGUCAGCUCGUGCCGUGAGGUGUUGGGUUAAGUCCCGCAACGAGCGAAACCCUUAUCAUUAGUUACCAGCAUUUCGGAUGGGGACUCUAGUGAGACUGCCUGGGUUAACCAGGAGGAAGGUGAGGAUGAUGUCAAGUCAGCAUGGCCCUUAUGCCUAGGGCUACACACGUGCUACAAUGGUCGAUACAAAAGGUCGCGAAGCCGCAAGGUGGUGCUAAUCCUAUAAAAUCGGUCUCAGUUCGGAUUGUGGUCUGCAACUCGACCACAUGAAGUUGGAAUUGCUAGUAAUGGCGUGUCAGCAACAACGCCGUGAAUACGUUCUCGGGCCUUGUACACACCGCCCGUCACAUCAUGGAAGUUGGUUUUGCCCAAAGUCACUGACUUAACCGCAAGGGAAGAAGUGCCUAAGGCAGGGCUGAUGACUAGGAUGAAGUCGUAACAAGGUAGCCCUACCGGAAGGUGGGGCUG